UGCUGACGAGUGGCAAACGGGUGAGUAAUACAUAUGAACUUUCUCUAAGCAGAGGAUAGCCAGUCGAAAGAUUGGGUAAUACUCUAUGUGGCCGAAAGGUUAAAGUUUAAUACACUUAGAGUGAGGCAUAUGCCCCAUCAGCUAGUUGGUAAGGUAAUGGCUUACCAAGGCGAAGACGGGUAGCUGGACUGAGAGGUUGAUCAGCCACACUGGGACUGCGACACGGCCCAGACAUCUACGGAUGGCAGCAGUAGGGAAUUUUCCGCAAUGGGCGAAAGCCUGACGGAGCCAUGCCGCGUGCAGGACGACGGCCCUAUGGGUUGUAAACUGCUGUGGUAGCCUACCAAAAAAAUGAGGAGGCUAUUAGAAAGAGGUUGCUAACUCUGUGCCAGCAGCAGCGGUAAUACAGAGACCUCGAGCGUUAUCCGGUAUCACUGGGCGUAAAGCGUACCGAUCGGUUGUUUAGUGGGUCUAAAGUGAAAGACCGAAGCCUAACUUCGUGUUUGCUUUGGAAACUACUAAACUUGAAGGGCAAAGAGGUGGUUGGAACUCUGCAAGUAGGGGUGAAAUCCGUUGAUAUGCAGGGGAACACCAAAAGCGAAGGCAGACCACUAGGUGCCUCUUGACACUGCUAGGACGAAAGCGUGGGGAGAGAACGGGAUUAGAUACCCCGGUAUUCCACGCCCUAAACGAUGAGUGCUAGUUUUUGGGGAAAGUUAAUCUUCCUCGGAGACAAAGCUAACGCAUUAAGCACUCCGCCUGUAGAGUACGAGCGCAAGCUUAAAACAUAAAGGAAUUGACGGGAACCCGCACAAGCGGUGGAUCAUGUGGCUUAAUUCGAUAAUAAGCGAGGAACCUCACCUAGGUUUGACAUGCAACUGCACGACUAAUGAAAGUUAGUUUCUUUCGAAGGUGUUGCACAGAUGAUGCACGGUCGUCGUCAGCUCGUGUCGUGAGAUGUUCGGUUAAGUCCGGUAACGAGCGCAACCCCAAUCCUUAGUUAUUUAAUGUCUAAGGAGACUGCCCGAGUUUAAUCGGGAGGAAGGCUGGGAUGACGUCAGAUCAGCGUG
rnacentral:rRNA from 1 species